CCAACAGCCGCAUCCCUUCUCUACAGAAGCCCCUGAGAGGAAAGCUCUUCACCAUGGACUGGACCUGGACGAUCUUCUGCUUGCUGGCAGUAGCUCCAGGUGCCCACUCCCAGGAGCAGCUGGUGCAGUCUGGGGCUGAGGUGAAGAAGCCUGGGGCCUCAGUGAAGGUCUCCUGCAAGGCUUCUGGAUUCACCUUCGACAGCUCUGCUAUCAGCUGGGUGCGACAGGCCCCUGGACAAGGGCUUGAGUGGAUGGGAGUGAUUAUCCCUGUUGCUGGUAUAACAAACUACGCACAGAAGUUCCAGGGCAGAGUCACGAUUACCGCCGACACAUCCACGAGCACAGCCUACAUGGAGCUGAGCAGCCUGAGAUCUGAGGACACGGCCAUGUAUUACUGUGCGGCAGACACAGUGUGA